AAUUUUCCUUUUAUUGGUACCACUCCACUAUGGAGGAAUAUAUCAAUAUACCUCUAAUCAUGGUGGGAAAAGGGGAUUUCUGUGGGUCUGGCACGGCACGCAAAGCUGAUUUCUUUUUGUGGCAAGCCCCCCCUUAGCACUGAUUGGCUGAGAGGCCAUGGCAGUCCUGCCUGUUGCCACUGAUUGGCUAAGGCAAAAACACAUGACAUCAUUGAAUAGCAAAGCCUGUGGAAAUAUCAAAUAAAUUAGCAUUUUUUAAUAAACCUAGGUAUUACAUUUAAAGCCAUAUUGAAAUAUGAAUACCAAAUUAUACACAAUAUAAUUUGUAACUAAUGUCAUCAUAAUUUAUUAUUAUCUACAAUAAUACUAGAUAAUGCUCACCUUGAUAGACACAAUUCAUGUUAGUUGUUAAAUACUAGUAGGCAACAUCCACUGGCAGUUGCUGCUGACAUCCUCUGUUUCCCUGGUGUGAACAUUUGUUCAUAUGCUGAGAUUGCAUAUUCUGCAUCCACUUAAUUGGUUGGAAUAUUAAGGCAGCAUUUGGUCAAGUUGUAAAGAUGUGGAAACCAAUCAGUCACAGUCAAAGACAUCUGGCACUCUUUGACAAAGUUCAUGUAAGCAGCACAUUCUUUGUCAUGUUCUUUCUGCCAUCCAGGGAUCUAUUUCAGUAACUGAGGGUCAAAACUCAGAAAAGGCACCUGAUUAGAGUAAAAAAAUGUGAACAGCCCUAAAACAGGAAGAUGCUGGUUGUUUAAACCACGGUGGUCAUGACUGAUCAUCAAGGAUCCUGCUUUUCCCUGAU